UACAGAGGGGGCAAGCGUUGUUCGGAAUUACUGGGCGUAAAGGGCGCGUAGGCGGCCCGCUAAGUCGAACGUGAAAUCCCCGGGCUCAACCCGGGAACUGCGUCCGAUACUGGUGGGCUCGAAUCCGGGAGAGGGAUGCGGAAUUCCAGGUGUAGCGGUGAAAUGCGUAGAUAUCUGGAGGAACACCGGUGGCGAAGGCGGCAUCCUGGACCGGUAUUGACGCUGAGGCACGAAAGCGUGGGGAGCAAACAGG
rnacentral:rRNA from 1 species